AGCGUACAAGGUGGAUGCCUUGGCAAUCAGAGGCGAAGAAGGACGUGCUAAUCUGCGAAAAGCUUGGAUGAGUCGAUAAGAGGCGUUUAAUCCAAGAUGUCCGAAUGGGGAAACCCAGUAGAUGAAGAAUCUACUAUCACUUACUGAAUUCAUAGGUAAGUGAGGCGAACCGGGAGAACUGAAACAUCUAAGUACCCCGAGGAAAAGAAAUCAACCGAGAUUUUGUGAGUAGCGGCGAGCGAAAGCGAAAGAGCCUGUUAGUGAUAGCGAUAGAGACAGAGGAACAAGCUGGGAAGCUUGGCGACACAGGGUGAUAGCCCCGUACUCGAAGUCCAGGUCGUGGUACUAAGCUAACGAGAAGUAGGGCGGGACACGUGAUAUCCUGUUUGAAGAUGGGGGGACCAUCCUCCAAGGCUAAAUACUCCUGAUUGACCGAUAGUGAACCAGUACUGUGAAGGAAAGGCGAAAAGAACCCCGGUGAGGGGAGUGAAAUAGAACCUGAAACCUUGUACGUACAAGCAGUGGGAGCCCUUUAAGGGUGACUGCGUACCUUUUGUAUAAUGGGUCAGCGACUUAUAUUUUGUAGCGAGGUUAACCGAAUAGGGGAGCCGAAGGGAAACCGAGUCUUAACUGGGCGUCUAGUUGCAAGGUAUAGACCCGAAACCCGGUGAUCUAGCCAUGGGCAGGUUGAAGGUUGGGUAACACUAACUGGAGGACCGAACCGACUAAUGUUGAAAAAUUAGCGGAUGACUUGUGGCUGGGGGUGAAAGGCCAAUCAAACCGGGAGAUAGCUGGUUCUCCCCGAAAUCUAUUUAGGUAGAGCCUUGAGCGGACACCUUCGGGGGUAGAGCACUGUUUCGGCUAGGGGUCCAUCCCGGAUUACCAACCCGAUGCAAACUACGAAUACCGAAGAGUGAUACUCAGGAGACACACGGCGGGUGCUAACGUCCGUCGUGGAGAGGGAAACAACCCAGACCGCCAGCUAAGGUCCCAAAGUCUAUAUUAAGUGGGAAACGAAGUGGGAAGGCUUAGACAGCUAGGAUGUUGGCUUAGAAGCAGCCAUCAUUUAAAGAAAGCGUAAUAGCUCACUAGUCGAGUCGGCCUGCGCGGAAGAUGUAACGGGGCUCAAAUAUAGCACCGAAGCUGCGGCAUCAGACGAAAGUCUGUUGGGUAGGGGAGCGUUCUGUAAGCGGAUGAAGGUGGUUCGAGAGGGCUGCUGGACGUAUCAGAAGUGCGAAUGCUGACAUAAGUAACGAUAAAACGGGUGAAAAACCCGUUCGCCGGAAGACCAAGGGUUCCUGUCCAACGUUAAUCGGGGCAGGGUGAGUCGGCCCCUAAGGCGAGGCUGAAAAGCGUAGUCGAUGGGAAACGGGUUAAUAUUCCCGUACUUGGAUAAACUGCGAUGUGGGGACGGAGCAGGUUAGGUUAUCGCACUGUUGGAUAUGUGCGUUUAAGUUGGUAGGUGUGAAGUUUAGGCAAAUCCGGACUUCUUUAACACUGAGAGAUGAUGACGAGGCUCUACGGAGCUGAAGUAACCGAUACCACACUUCCAGGAAAAGCCACUAAGCUUCAGGUUUAUCUAAACCGUACUGAAAACCGACACAGGUGGUCAGGUAGAGAAUACUCAGGCGCUUGAGAGAACUCGGGUGAAGGAACUAGGCAAAAUAGCACCGUAACUUCGGGAGAAGGUGCGCCGGCGUAGAUUGUAGUCCCUUGCGGAUGAAGGUUGAACCGGUCGAAGAUACCAGCUGGCUGCAACUGUUUAUUAAAAACACAGCACUCUGCAAACACGAAAGUGGACGUAUAGGGUGUGACGCCUGCCCGGUGCUGGAAGGUUAAUUGAAGAUGUGAGAGCAUCGGAUCGAAGCCCCAGUAAACGGCGGCCGUAACUAUAACGGUCCUAAGGUAGCGAAAUUCCUUGUCGGGUAAGUUCCGACCUGCACGAAUGGCAUAAUGAUGGCCAGGCUGUCUCCACCCGAGACUCAGUGAAAUUGAAAUCGCCGUGAAGAUGCGGUGUACCCGCGGCUAGACGGAAAGACCCCGUGAACCUUUACUAUAGCUUGACACUGAACAUUGAAUUUUGAUGUGUAGGAUAGGUGGGAGACUUUGAAGUAGUCACGCCAGUGAUUAUGGAGUCGUCCUUGAAAUACCACCCUUUAACGUUUGAUGUUCUAACGAAGAUUACGAAACGUGGUCUCGGACAGUGUCUGGUGGGUAGUUUGACUGGGGCGGUCUCCUCCCAAAGAGU
rnacentral:rRNA from 1 species